rnacentral:rRNA from 1 species
UACGUAGGGGGCAAGCGUUAUCCGGAAUUACUGGGUGUAAAGGGAGCGUAGACGGUAAUGUAAGUCUGGAGUGAAAGGCGGGGGCCCAACCCCCGGACUGCUCUGGAAACUAUGUUACUAGAGUGCAGGAGAGGUAAGCGGAAUUCCUAGUGUAGCGGUGAAAUGCGUAGAUAUUAGGAGGAACAUCAGUGGCGAAGGCGGCUUACUGGACUGUAACUGACGUUGAGGCUCGAAAGCGUGGGGAGCAAACAGG